rnacentral:rRNA from 1 species
UACAGAGGGGGCAAGCGUUGUUCGGAAUUACUGGGCGUAAAGGGCGCGUAGGCGGCCUGUUAAGUCGAACGUGAAAUCCCCGGGCUCAACCCGGGAACUGCGUCCGAUACUGGCAGGCUUGAAUCCGGGAGAGGGAUGCGGAAUUCCAGGUGUAGCGGUGAAAUGCGUAGAUAUCUGGAGGAACACCGGUGGCGAAGGCGGUU